rnacentral:lncRNA from 10 species
AUUUAGAGGAAAUUUUUGAGCUGAACAGUAUUUUUUUUCUCCCUCUCUCUCUCUCUGAAAUAUUGCUGAGAUUUAAAGGAGGACGAAGACAACAGAUUCAUAGCUGGGUCUUGCUGUUUUCCUGACGCUGACCACAGCGGAUCUAGUUUCUCUGCAGAAGACAGCAAGAUGCCCCAGGGAAUGUUUGUGAAAAAGGAUGACUGGAUGGGAAGCAAGCUGAAGAAAAAGAAGGAAAGAAAGAGAGAAAUCAGUAAAUCACCACACAAGAGGUGGAGAAGAGGACUUAUAAAUAUUGUUUCUAUGACAUUUGAAAAUAAAUGUUUUACUCCAUGCUAAUAGUGAAUGUGAUGUCUUCAGUUUGAAGGGCUUUAAGUGAAGCUCAUUAAAACCCACUAUUUUCCA